rnacentral:rRNA from 1 species
UACGGGGGGGGCAAGCGUUGUUCGGAAUUACUGGGCGUAAAGGGCGCGUAGGCGGCCUUCUAAGUCGGACGUGAAAUCCCUCGGCUUAACCGAGGAACUGCGUCCGAUACUGAAAGGCUUGAAUCCGGGAGAGGGAUGUGGAAUUCCAGGUGUAGCGGUGAAAUGCGUAGAUAUCAGGAGGAACACCGGUGGCGAAGGCGGGUCUCUGGGCCGAUAUUGACGCUGAGGAGCGAAAGCGUGGGGAGCGAACAGG